CGGACGGGUGAGUAACACGUGGGCAACCUGCCUGUAAGAUCGGAAUAACCCCGGGAAACCGGGGCUAAUGCCGGGUAAUACUUUCUUUCUCAUGAAGGAAAGUUGAAAGAUGGCUUCUUGCUAUCACUUACAGAUGGGCCCGCGGCGCAUUAUCUAUUUGGUGAGGUAACGGCUCACCAAGGCGACAAUGCGUAGCCGACCUGAGAGGGUGAUCGGCCACACUGGGACUGAGACACGGCCCACACUCCUACGGGAGGCAGCAGUAGGGAAUCUUCCGCAAUGGACAAAAGUCUGACGGAGCAACGCCGCGUGAACGAUGAAGGUCUUCGGAUCGUAAAGUUCUGUUGUUAGGGAAAAACAAGUACCGUGCGAAUAGAGCGGUACCUUGACGGUACCUAACGAGGAAACCCCGGCUAACUACGUGCCACCAGCCGCGGUAAUACGUAGGGGGCAAGCGUUGUCCGGAAUUAUUGGGCGUAAAGCGCGCGCAGGCGGUUCCUUAAGUCUGAUGUGAAAGCCCACGGCUCACCCGUGGAGGGUCAUUGUAAACUGUGGAGCUUGAGGACACAAAGGAGAGUGGAAUUCCACGUGUAGCGCUGAAAUGCGUAGAUAUGUGGAGGAACACCAGUGGCGAAGGCGACUCUCUGGUCUGUUUCUGACGCUGAGGUGCGAAAGCGUGGGUAGCAAACAGGAUUAGAUACCCUGGUAGUCCACGCCGUAAACGAUGAGUGCUAGGUGUUAGGGGGCUUCCACCCCUUAUUGCUGAAGUUAACGCAUUAAGCACUCCGCCUGGGGAGUACGGCCGCAAGGCUGAAACUCAAAGGAAUUGACGGGGGCCCGCACAAGCGGUGGAGCAUGUGGUUUAAUUCGAAGCAACGCGAAGAACCUUACCAGGUCUUGACAUCCUUGGACAUCCCUAGAGAUAGGGCUUUCCCUUCGGGGACCAAGUGACAGGUGGUGCAUGGUUGUCGUCAGCUCGUGUCGUGAGAUGUUGGGUUAA
rnacentral:rRNA from 1 species